UUGGAUCGGCAGCCAGGCCAGAACUGGUAAGAGAAGUUCAACUACCACCUAGCUAAAACUUAAACCCAUAUUAUAUUCAUCCUUCCUGGUGCAGCUAGCUAGCUAUUUCAUAUUUGCUGCUAUGUAUUCCAGAAAUGUCAUGGCAGGGAAGAAUUGAAGAAGACGACGACGACUGUGAAUAUAAUUAUGUUGAGAGUGACAGUAGAGAGAUAUUGAUGCGAUUCAAUCUGAACAUUUAUGGUUAAUCUAUCAGCCAUAUAUAUGGUUUUGAUUGAGCCGCGUCAAUAUCUCUCUUUCAACCAUCUGUCCUUACUCCAUCCAUCUCAAUGCCGGAGGAUAACGACGACGACGCCAAUAACAGCGACUCCGAUGAUGAUGGUAGCUAGCUACAGCUCAGCUAGUAUAGGAACAAUUUGCAGCUAGGGUUUCUGUGUGUUGUUUGUGUAAGAAACUGAUAGCACAAACACCGCCAAACUACAUGUAUAUAUAUGGGAGCAACUGUUUUUACGCUGAGGAAUAUUUUGAGGAAUUGUCCCCAGUUCUGUCUCGGAUUUUAGUCAUUUAAUUUGCAGGUAGAGUUCAUAUGUUUCUGCCACCUUCUUGUAAGAUAAUGGAACUCCAAACUCCCUACCUUACCUUCUAUGAAUAGAGAAAUAUAUAUUAAAAAAAUUUACAGAUUCA